GAGCUAUAGUGUAUCGAUCCGAAUAUCAUUAGAGAUGUAUAAGGGUGUAAAAUACAUGCGACGAAUUAUUAAAGUAUAUCCACAUUAAUUGAAUCCAGAGGCUAUGUUUGUGUCUGAUAUAUACUGAUGCAAGAAUAAAAAACUGAUUACGAGAUAAUUAUGGAGGAAUGAUAUGCCAUAACGGCACUCACUCGUCUUAAAUCUUUUAAGAUGUGAUGCAACAAUUCUUGUACAACAGAGGAGUUGUUAUUAAUUUUUGUUUGAGAAUCAUCCAACAAAAAACUUCAUGAAAGAAUUUAAUUAGGAAACGAAUAGAGAAUAUGGGAAAUAAUAAAAAAGAAAGCGCGGAUUUUUUUUUUGUUACAAUUUUUACUCUUAAAAAGAAUUCUAAAAUAGCUCAACAAAUAUAGACUACAGUCGAUAUAUGUUACUUAAUAUUGUUGGCCAAACAUUGGACGAGAAACUUUAGUAACCAAAUAAAUAUCUAUAUUAAAUAAGAGAGACAUAUUAUUUUAAAUAUUUCACUUAAUUUGUAAAUAUAUUUUUUCAUAAUACUUAUUUCUGCACUGACUAGUUUGUAUAAAAUUUCAAAUACAUUU